CGCCUGGAGGGAAGUGGGGGACCNCAAGGCCUCACGCGAAUGGAGCGGCCGAUGUCAGAUUAGCUAGUUGGUGGGGUAAAGGCCCACCAAGGCGACGAUCUGUAGCGGGUCUGAGAGGAUGAUCCGCCACACUGGGACUGAGACACGGCCCAGACUCCUACGGGAGGCAGCAGUGGGGAAUUUUGGACAAUGGGCGCAAGCCUGAUCCAGCCAUGCCGCGUGCGGGACGAAGGCCUUCGGGUUGUAAACCGCUUUCAGCCGGAAAGAAAUCGCCGUUUUUAAUACAGACGGUGGAUGACGGUACCGGAAGAAGAAGCACCGGCUAACUACGUG
rnacentral:rRNA from 1 species